rnacentral:tRNA from 2 species
GGUCCUAUCGUCUAGUGGUUAGGACGGCAGGUUCUCAACCUGUAAACAUCGGUCCGAUUCCGAUUAGGAUCA